UCCGGCUUAUCACCGGCAGUCUCUCUAGAGUGCCCAACUGAAUGAUGGCAACUAGAGAUGAGGGUUGCGCUCGUUACGGGACUUAACCCAACAUCUCACGACGCGAGCUGACGACAGCCAUGCAGCACCUGUCUUACAGUUCCCGAAGGCACCCCACCAUCUCUGGCAGGUUCUGUAGAUGUCAAGGGCAGGUAAGGUUUUUCGCGUUGCAUCGAAUUGAACCACAUGCUCCACCGCUUGUGCGGGCCCCCGUCAAUUCCUUUGAGUUUUAACCUUGCGGCCGUACUCCCCAGGCGGGAUACUUAUUGCGUUAGCUGCGUCACCAAGAAGUUAAACUUCCCGACAACUAGUAUCCAUCGUUUAAGGCGUGGACUAC
rnacentral:misc_RNA from 1 species